rnacentral:rRNA from 1 species
CCCUUAGAUGUCCGGGGCCGCACGCGCGCUACACUGAAGGAAUCAGCGUGGCUUUCUCCCUGACCCGAAAGGGUUGGGAAACCCGUUGAAUCUCCUUCGUGAUAGGGAUUGGAGCUUGAAAUUGUUCCCCAUGAACGAGGAAUUCCCAGUAAGCGCGAGUCAUAAGCUCGCGUUGAUUACGUCCCUGCCCUUUGUACACACCGCCCGUCGCUACUACCGAUUGAACGGUUUAGUGAGGGCCUCGGAUUGGUCUCGGCCCGCUCUUUACCGGGCGGCGCCGUUGGUCGAGAAGACGCUCGAACUUGAUCGUUUAGAGGAAGUAAAAGUCGUAACA